rnacentral:rRNA from 1 species
UACGUAGGCGGCAAGCGUUGUCCGGAUUUACUGGGCGUAAAGAGCGCGCAGGCGGUCGUUCAAGUCGCGUGUGAAAGCCCCCGGCUCAACUGGGGAGGGUCACGCGAUACUGAUCGACUCGAAGGCAGGAGAGGGUAGUGGAAUUCCCGGUGUAGUGGUGAAAUGCGUAGAUAUCGGGAGGAACACCAGUGGCGAAGGCGACUACCUGGCCUGUUCUUGACGCUGAGGCGCGAAAGCUAGGGGAGCAAACGGG